rnacentral:tRNA from 1 species
GGAGUUGUAGCUCAGUGGUAGAGUGCUUAACUUGCAUGCAUGAAGCACUGAGUUCGCUCCUCAGCACCA